GUAGGUGAACCUGCGGAAGGAUCAUUAACACGUUUCUUAACAAAACGUUUUAAAAACCCCAAAAUUAAUCUGUGAACUUGAACUUUUCCCCCCCCUAUGUUUUUUUAACAAAAAACGCCCCUUUUUUAAUUCUUUUAGAACUGAAAAAAACUAAGCAACUGAAAAAAUUAAUUUUUUUUCUUUGCGAUUUAAAAAAUGCUGAACAACUCUUAACAACGGAUAUCUUGGUUCUCGCAUCGAUGAAGAACGC
rnacentral:misc_RNA from 1 species